rnacentral:rRNA from 1 species
AGGGAAUCUUCCGCAAUGGACGAAAGUCUGACGGAGCAACGCCGCGUGAGUGAAGAAGGUCUUCGGAUCGUAGAACUCUGUUGUUAGGGAAGAACAAGUAUCGUUCGAAUAGGGCGGUACCUUGACGGUACCUAACCAGAAAGCCACGGCUAACUACGUGCCAGCAGCCGCGGUAAUACGUAGGUGGCAAGCGUUGUCCGGAAUUAUUGGGCGUAAAGCGCGCGCAGGCGGUCUUUAAGUCUGAUGUGAAAGCCCACGGCUCAACCGUGGAGGGUCAUUGGAAACUGGGGGACUUGAGUGCAGAAGAGGAAAGCGGAAUUCCACGUGUAGCGGUGAAAUGCGUAGAGAUGUGGAGGAACACCAGUGGCGAAGGCGACUCUCUGGGCUGUAACUGACGCUGAGGCGCGAAAGCGUGGGGAGCAAAC